rnacentral:rRNA from 1 species
GGACCUGACUGCUAUCGGAUUGAUACUAAGCCAUGCGAGUCAUUGUAGCAAUACAAGGCAUACGGCUCAGUAACGCGUAGUCAACCUAACCUAUGGACGGGAAUAACCUCGGGAAACUGAGAAUAAUGCCCGAUAGAACAUUAUGCCUGGAAUGGUUUAUGUUCCAAAUGAUUUAUCGCCGUAGGAUGGGACUGCGGCCUAUCAGUUUGUUGGUGAGGUAAUGGCCCACCAAGACUAUUACAGGUACGGGCUCUGAGAGGUGUAGCCCGGAGAUGGGUACUGAGACACGGACCCAGGCCCUAUGGGGCGCAGCAGGCGAGAAAACUUUGCAAUGUGCGAAAGCACGACAAGGUUAAUCCGAGUGGUUUCUGCUAAAGAAACCUUUUGUCAGUCCUAGAAACACUGAUGAAUAAGGGGUGGGCAAGUUCUGGUGU